rnacentral:lncRNA from 1 species
AUGUUAGGGCCGAAUCUGCACCAAAGAGCAGCACCUGCGCGUUUAUCAGCCCAGCGAAGCCCAGCUUCUCCCAUUGAAUCUGACCACACCUGCUCUGGAGCCUCCUUUUCAGGCUCACCUUUCACAUUUUUCCCUCCUAUCAAGCGCAGCGAACCUUCACCCUCAUCCUGUCCUCACGCUGAAAGGAGAUUGCUGUCCUCUGGAGAAGAAGCGGAGCGAUGUAAUCGUGUGACAAGCGAACAUCACCAAGUCACCACAUAAAUAUCAAAGGGCAGAUGAGAAAGAGCCGUGUUUAAGUCUGUAAAGCUUCUGACCAUGCGACGUUCAGGACCCUUAAAAAACACACACACACCAAAAAUCAUGAACACAGCUUAGUCCACCAGAGACACGAAGCAUUCUCAAAUAUAUACACAAUAUAACAAAAAUAACAGCAUCACGUUUUUCUGCGAGAGCGCACAAAAGUUCAUGAAGUUGUAUCAUUAGUCCAGCACAUUUAAAUGUGUACAGGUAGCUCGAAGGGAGGCAAAGCAACUAUUGCUACAAUUUCACACUACGAGGUCAUUGGAAGUAUUUAAAUACGCCACUGAAUGAAAAGCUGUAAAAAUAAUAUACUCCGAAUACAUUUAUAUAAUUAUGUACAUAUACAUAUAGGUUAAAUACUGCUCAUUCUGAAUCCCUGCCCUUUGUCCACUCAGGCAGCUGCUGUGGCCGAGUCGUACUGAAGCUCCCGCGACGGCUUCCGCCGCCGCUUUUGACAAGUUGUGCUUCACAUUUGGGUUGCGCUUAAUUCACGGUUUUGCCACAAGCCGGAAGAAGCGAAGAGGUGACGGCGUGGUGGGCGUGUGAAGAAAUCAAUGAACGCGCUGAGACGCUUCACUUCUUCUGCCAAGGCAGUGAAAGAGUCUGCGACGCCAUUGACUCCACAUAUUAGACAGUGUGAAUUGAGCCGUGAAUUGAGAACUUUUCUACCUUCAAACAGAGCUGAGCUGAACUUUUCCCCGUUUUCAGCCUCCACACUGUGAUAAUGAUUAGAUGUUAACGUGGUAUCAGUCGUCUCAUCUCACUCUUGGCAGGAAGGAGCGUGGGUGUAUUUCCCGAGAUGUCAAAUGUGUCUUUAAGUCUAAAUUGAAUAUGACGCCACAUGAAAUACGUGUUGGCCCUUUUUUGAGUUGGAGGCUCGAGAUGAACUUUAUCUCAACUCCACAUCUGCAAUCUUAGAUAAGAGUUUCUUCCUCUUAUAUCCAGCUCUGACAGGUGUGUGUGUGUGUGUGUGCGUGUGUGUGUGUGUGUGUGUGUGUGUGUGUGUGUGUGUGCGUGUGCGUGAGUGUGUGUGUGUGUGUGUGCGUGCGUGUGCGCGUUUCAACCCACUGCAGCUUCUUCUCCCUCGGUUCAGAGUAUUUCUCUACCCCAUCCACUGUAAUGACGAGCGACGCUGAGCCUGCCUCAUAAGUGCAUUACUGUUGUACAACAUUUAGUGUUUCGUACCUCACUAGAGAAGCUCUCUGCUGCCUUAAACAGAGAAUCCACCCUGAAACACAACAAACUCCACUUAUGGCUCAAUGUCUACUCAUCAAUUUCUAAAAAAGCAAGAAGAAGCUCAAAAAAGCAAUAAAAGUUUUGUUUCCUUUGCA